rnacentral:rRNA from 1 species
GUGCCAGCAGCCGCGGUAAUACGGAGGUUGCAAGCGUUAUCCGGAUUUAUUGGGUUUAAAGGGUGCGUAGGCGGGAUAAUAAGUCAGUGGUGAAAGCCUGCAGCUUAACUGUAGAAAUGCCAUUGAUACUGUUGUUCUUGAGUGUAGUUGAGGUGGGCGGAAUGUGUAAUGUAGCGGUGAAAUGCUUAGAUAUUACACAGAACACCGAUUGCGUAGGCAGCUCGCUAAACUAAAACUGACGCUGAGGCACGAAAGCGUGGGGAGCAAACAGGAUUAGAAACCCGCGUAGUCC